rnacentral:tRNA from 1 species
GCACCAAUCGUAUAAUGGCUAGUACACAUCCCUGUCGCGGAUGAGAUCCGGGUUCGAUUCCCGGUUGGUGCG